rnacentral:rRNA from 1 species
GAUGAACGCUGGCGGCGUGCCUAAUACAUGCAAGUCGAGCGAACGGACGAGAAGCUUGCUUCUCUGAUGUUAGCGGCGGACGGGUGAGUAACACGUGGAUAACCUACCUAUAAGACUGGGAUAACUUCGGGAAACCGGAGCUAAUACCGGAUAAUAUUUUGAACCGCAUGGUUCAAAAGUGAAAGACGGUCUUGCUGUCACUUAUAGAUGGAUCCGCGCUGCAUUAGCUAGUUGGUAAGGUAACGGCUUACCAAGGCAACGAUGCAUAGCCGACCUGAGAGGGGGAUCGGCCACACUGGAACUGAGACAAGGUCCAGACUCCUAAGGGAGGGAGCAGUAGGGAAUCUUUCGCAAUGGGCGAAAGCCUGACGGAGCAACGCCGCGUGAGUGAUGAAGGUCUUCGGAUCGUAAAACUCUGUUAUUAGGGAAGAACAUAUGUGUAAGUAACUGUGCACAUCUUGACGGUACCUAAUCAGAAAGCCACGGCUAACUACGUG